CCAGGGUGCAUUCCAUGUAGAGUGCACGCCGAAGUUCCGCCGCUGGAAAAUUCGCACACGCCGCCAGACUGCCAGAUUUAUUUAAUCUAUAUUUUGGCAAAAUUUUACGGCGACCUCCCCCCCUCGCCAAAAAAAUUUCGGUCAGUGUGCCAUUUUAGGGGUCAAAAAUGUUUUCCCGACAUGUCAUCGUUAAACUCGUUAAAAAUAAAACAGCGUAAAUUUAAUUGAAUUUCAAGCGAAUCCUUCGUAGUGUUGUGGUUUAGGCGUGUGCCCGUAUUGCGUGCGCCAAGUUCUGGGAUCGAUUCCUGCUCGCGCUACUAUUUUAUUAUUUUUUUUUAUACUUUUUUUUCUUCGUGAUUUUCGCUUACGCACCGCGUACGAAACGUAUAGCGUAUCGAAUAUUAUUAUUAUUAUUAUUAUUAUUAAUGGUUUAAGAUACACACCUUCGCAAUAGAUUGAAUUAUGGUGCGUUUACAAAAUUGGUACGCUAUAUAUUUACAUAUAUAAUAUGUUGUUGCUUCGUUCUUAAGAAACAACGCAACCCUUUUAGUGGUUUAGUGUUAGCUUUUAAAGCGUUGUCGGAUGAAUAGCCGUGAAGCAGGAAGAUCCGGUGUCGGACGAAUAUCCACGGGGAACAAUUUUUCCUGGCAUUACCAAAUUUUCUCCAUUUAUCCAACUUUUUUUUCUUAAAUCCGAAAGUUUGGUACCAUUCUCUAAAAUUUUUGUCAAUUUAGCUCAUUCUUCUCCAAAUUCACACUUAUUUUUGUUAAUUAACUUUCUCUGGGCAUAGAAAUUACUGGAAUUUGUGUUCAUUUACCCGAAUUUCUUCUGCAAAUCUACCUGGAUUUACCUGAAAUUGCCCACAUGAGCAAUUAUUGGGGGGGGGGUGUUACACCCCCACACCCCCCGGUCGGCACGGCCCUGCGCGCGAGUGGUUUUAGACACAAUAAAACACGAGUCGCGAGUUUAUUGAACGGUUUCAAAAACAAUUAAUAGUAUUCUUUAUAUAAGGAAUACUAAGUAGGAAGUGUUUUAUCAAAUAUGAAACCACUGCAUGUAACAUAUUAUACUUGAUUUGGUUGGCAAAAAAGAUCAUGAAACUGUUAAGUUAUCCGAUAAACAAUAGAGACUUAACGACGAUAUUUUCUGAUUGUAUUAUAUUAAGUUUGUACGCCGUUUAGGGGAAAACUGAUACUACGCCGGCACGCCAACAUUAGCAUUUGCACGCCGCUGCGCCGUAGGGCAUCGCAACUCCACGCC